rnacentral:tRNA from 1 species
GGCAAGGUAAGCUAACUUAUAAGCUGUUGGGCUCAUAACCCAAAAAUAGACUCCUCUCCUUGCUAACC